CAAGUCCGCUGCAAUGAAGGAAUAGCGAUCCACAUUGGCCCCGAGUCAUGCGCGGCACACCGCGAGGUGUGGCGUGAAGCGUUGACAGGGGUACGCACAGGCCAGCCAUUGAGCCACGAAAGGUACUUAUCCCGGGUGUCGACGCUGUACCACUGGCGGAAGACAACACGGGCGGGGGCGCCAACGCGAGCCCCCGCGCGACCCGGCGCGGUCGCAGAACC
rnacentral:ncRNA from 1 species